rnacentral:lncRNA from 10 species
AGACAUUUGAUUUUCAAUGUCAUUGUUUAAUAAAAUAUGCAUAAGUCAUCACAAAGUAUUGCUUUAUUUCUUCUCAGAUGCCUCUUAUUUUCUAAAGCUGCAAGUUAAAAGAAACCUUCCAUAUGUUUUUAGGGUUAUAGAGUUGAACCGAUGGGCCUCAAGUGAAAGGAAGAUCACGAAAGUUGUGCCUAGAAAAGUUAUUCGUCAACGAGCACAGUUUGGAUGGAAGUGGCUGAUGAGAUGUUGAGAAAGUAUUUGAAGGCACCUGACAACAAAACCCCAGAAGACUCAUGAGAAGGGUCAUUAGCCACACUCUGUUGUAGUCCUUCUCCUGUUUGGAAUUCCAGUUUCCUAUACAAAGGUGGCUGUGAUGGGCCAGGGCCAUGGCUGGAAGAGGUAAGACCUUCAACAUAGCAAUCAACUUGGACAUUAUCAGACUUGUUUUAACACAAAAUGGUAAAUAUCCAGUUAUCGGAUAAGAGUCAACAUUUUAUGGCCUGCCAUGUUGAAAACUCUGUUCUAAUGAUUGAUAGGUCCCAUUGUGAUCCCUGUAAACUGUCAAUCAGGACUGUGAAAAGCACCAUGACAAAUGACUAAACAUUGUCUCUACUAAUCACAUUUGGGGUUAGCCUGAUGUAUUAGCUAUAGUUUGUUUAUUUUUCAUAAACAAAAUAGAUAAAGUUCAAGUUUCCUAUGUUCUUCUACAAGGUAGAUUUUCUUCACCCCACCCCUCAAAAGAAAAUCACUAUUAUUAAUUUUAGUACCUCAUUUGUCCAGAUUUUAAAAUUGUUAUUACAUACACAUAUAUCCCUGAAAAGAUACCAAAAUACUAUGUUUUUAAUAUAUAUCCAAUAGUAUUAUAUUCUGCAUAUUAUCGUAUAACAUGUUUUUGUCUACUCAACAUUACCUUUUUGAAUAACCUCAUGUAAAUUAAACCAUUUAUAGUGAAUAUAAUUUAUUUUCAUGCUAUAUAGCAAGUAUUCCAUUGUAUAUAUGAACUGUCAUUUAAUUCUCCAUCCCUUUAUUGAUAGGUUUUUGAGUUGUUUCCAUUUCUCCCUAUUACACAAAAAGGCUAGUGGAUAUCCCUGUGCAUUUAUCUUUACAUGCAUAUGUGAGAGUAUAGGGAGAACGGAACUGUUGGGUUGUAGGAUAUGCUUAUUUUCCACUUCAAGAGUUGCCGUCUAAAACAAAUUGGUAUUGAUUUACAUCUCCACCUGCUGUGUGUCAGUGAUCUAUUCUCACAUCCUCCUAUCAUUUGGAAUAGUUAUAACUUUUGCCAUUAUAAUGAAUUUGAAAUGGUAUCUCAUUUUGUUUUGCAUUCUUUUCCCCAACCACUACUAUUUGUUUUAUACUUAUUCAACUGUUACCUGUUUUUUGAAUAAAUGAUACAUAUCCUUUGCCUAGUUUCUAUUGGAUUAUCUUUUAUCAUAUUCUUAUUGACUGAUAAGAAUUAUUUGAAUUUUUGUAUUGUCUGUAAUAUAUAUUGGUUACAUUUUCCAGCUUAUUGCUUUUCUUUUAACAUUAUAG